rnacentral:rRNA from 1 species
UGACUUAUGCUAUCAUAAGCGGAGGAAAAAGAAAACUAACAGAUUGCGCUCAGUAUGGCGAACAAACCUGCAAAAGCCAAACUUGAAAAUCUUCCUUUUG